rnacentral:rRNA from 1 species
GCCCUUCCUACGGGAGGCAGCAGUGGGGAAUAUUGGACAAUGGGGGCAACCCUGAUCCAGCCAUGCCGCGUGAGUGAUGACGGCCUUAGGGUUGUAAAGCUCUUUUCUUCCGGGACGAUAAUGNCGUNCCGAG